rnacentral:rRNA from 1 species
UGUUAGGAGGGUUUUCCCGCCCCUUUUAGUGGCUGGAAGGUUAACGCCAUUAAAGCCCCUCCCGCCCUGGGGGAAGUACGGCCCGCCAAGGCUGGAAACUCAAAAAGGAAAUUGACGGGGGCCCGCACACAGCCGGUGGAGCAUGUGGUUUAAUUUUGAAGCAACGCGAGAGAACCUUUCCAGGUCUUGACAUCAUCAGAAAACCCUAGAGAUAGGGCUUCUCCUUCGGGAGCAGAGUGACAGGUGGAGCAAAAGUUGUCGUCAGCUCGUGUCGUGAGAUGUUGGGUUAAGUCCCGCAACGAGCGCAACCCUUGAUCUUAGUUGCCAUCAUUAAGUUGGGCACUCUAAGGUGACUGCCGGUGACAAACCGGAGGAAGGUGGGGAUGACGUCAAAUCAUCAUGCCCCUUAUGACCUGGGCUACACACGUGCUACAAUGGACGGUACAAAGAGCUGCAAAACCGCGAGGUGGAGCUAAUCUCAUAAAACCGUUCUCAGUUCGGAUUGUAGGCGGCAACUCGCCUACAUGAAGCUGGAAUCGCUAGUAAUCGCGGAUCAGCAUGCCGCGGUGAAUACGUUCCCGGCCUCUGACACCCGCCCGUCACACCCGAGAGUU